rnacentral:rRNA from 1 species
UACGGGAGGCAGCAGUGGGGAAUAUUGCACAAUGGGCGAAAGCCUGAUGCAGCUAUGCCGCGUGUAUGAAGAAGGCCUUAGGGUUGUAAAGUACUUUCAUCGGGGAGGAAAAAACAAAACUAAUAAUUUUAUUUCUUGACGUUACCCGAAAAAGAAGCACCGGCUAACUCCGUGCCAGCAGCCGCGGUAAUACGGAGGGUGCUAGCGUUAAUCAGAAUUACUGGGCGUAAAAGAGCACGUAGGUGGUUUUUUUAAGUCAGAUGUGAAAUCCCUGGGCUUAACCUAGGAACUGCAUUUUGAAACUGAAAUACUAGAGUAUCGUAGAGGGAGGUAGAAUUCUAGGUGUAGCGGUGAAAUGCAUAGAUAUCUGGAGGAAUACCUGUGGCGAAAGCGGCCUCCUAAACGAAUACUGACACUGAGGUGCGAAAGCGUGGGGAGCAAACAGGGAUUAGAUACC